CCUGGCGUCCAGGGGAGGGGAUGCAAGGGCAUGAAGGGGGGGCUGUGGUGGUUUGGGAUGCAUGGUGUGGGGAGGGGGCUGUGGUGGUUUGGGGUGCAGGUUGUCAGUACAGGGGCUCGGGGAGGUUGGGGUACUGGGGCUGGAGAGGUUGGGGUGCAGGGGUGCACAGGGCAUGGGGAUGAGCAUUGGAGUGCAGAGUCCUCAGGGGGGCUGUGGGUGCUCAGCUGCAGGCCCAGGGGCUGGUCAGGGGCAUGGCAGGCUUUGGGGUAGGACUCGAGGUGGUCUGUGGGCAAACGGCCAGGCCAGACCCUGGGGGCCCUGGUCGUUGGGAAGGAAAUGGCCCUUGGGCAAGCAUGGCUGGCGGGAGAUGGUAUCAGCACCCCAACAUCCCCUCCGUACUCCCAGCACCCCCACCCCAGGACAUGCUGCACCCCAUACACCCGCCUUGCACCCCUCAGACUGGAUCAGCCCCCACCCGUGCACUCCCAGCCCUUUCACCCCCCCAGCACCCACAUUCUGCCUGGGGCACCCCCGUGCAUCCCCCACCCUGCAGGCCCCCCUCCCUGGGGUCCAUGUGUGUCCCACUGUGGGCAGGGACUCCUUUCCCCCCAACCCCCCCAGUGUCACCCCAAUGUCCUCAUGGUGUCCCCAGGGCCAGGCUGGGUGGCGCAAGGCUGUGGUGGUGACAUGUGGCCAUGUCACCCCUAUAAGAGCAACAAUGGGCAGAGCCCCCCUCAGCCCCCAGGUGAGGAGCGGGGAUGGGGACAGGGACAAGGACAGGGAACAUCAGAGUGGGCUCAGCCCUUGGCUGCUGGUGUGGGGACCAGGAGUGGGCAUCCUCGAGGCUGGGAUGAGGGUAUCAGGGGGACAAGGGGAUCUCUGGGAUGCUAGGAGUACAUGGGAGUGGCACAGAGGGUGGUGGAGGGACAAUGGGGAUGUGGGGCACAGAGGGGCAGGAUGGGGUGAGCAACACAAGGUGGUGGCAGGACAGUGGGGACAUGGGGAAUGGAAGAAGGGCCACAGAGAGAACAGAUUGUUACCCAAGGGUGGUAGAGGGGCUCUGGACCAUGGUGGGGGGUGACCAAGGGUGACAGGACUGCGGCAUCUCCAGAGGUUGGUGGUGGUGUCCUCAGUGUGCCUGCGUGUCCCACUGCCAUGUGGCCCUGCCUGCUGCUCGCUCUGGCCCUCCUGGGCACUGUCCCUGCCAGCCACCCUGGUGAGCGUCCCCCUGCUCCAGUGAGUGUCCCCCACACCCCUGCCCGCUCCCAGUGCUAUGACCACUGACGCCACAUGCCUGGGGCUGGUGCUGGGUGGUAGAGGGACCCCCAGUCCCCCCACUCUGCCCUGCAGCCCCCCGCCAGCUCCAGGGGGUCCCCACUGGUGAAACCCCCCAUCUGCGGUACGUCGUGGUGAAGAAGCUGCGCACCUAUUCGGGCGCCCAGCAAUACUGCCAG